AGGCUUAACACAUGCAAGUCGAGCGCCCCGCAAGGGGAGCGGCAGACGGGUGAGUAACGCGUGGGAACGUACCCUUUACUACGGAAUAACGCAGGGAAACUUGUGCUAAUACCGUAUGUGCCCUUCGGGGGAAAGAUUUAUCGGUAAAGGAUCGGCCCGCGUUGGAUUAGCUAGUUGGUGGGGUAAAGGCCUACCAAGGCGACGAUCCAUAGCUGGUCUGAGAGGAUGAUCAGCCACAUUGGGACUGAGACACGGCCCAAACUCCUACGGGAGGCAGCAGUGGGGAAUAUUGGACAAUGGGCGCAAGCCUGAUCCAGCCAUGCCGCGUGAGUGAUGAAGGCCCUAGGGUUGUAAAGCUCUUUCACCGGAGAAGAUAAUGACGGUAUCCGGAGAAGAAGCCCCGGCUAACUUCGUGCCAGCAAGCCCGCGGUAAUACGAAGGGGGCUAGCGUUGUUCGGAAUUACUGGGCGUAAAGCGCACGUA
rnacentral:rRNA from 1 species